UCUGUCUCAGGGGCCUUGCCUUCUUAGUGUUGGAGACUUACAGAAAGCUUUUCGUCUGCCCAGAAUGCUUUCAGUUGUGUUGGAAGAAGGAAAUCUGGAAAACCCUGACACCUGGCAAUAGUGUCAUCUGAGAGCCAGCGCUAGACAUGGGUCUGAGAAUUCAUCAUGGGAGAAUACACUUUCAUAGACCUUGUGUAAAGACGCACCCCAAAGCUUUCUUAUGGAACCCAAUCCUGAACACAAGGACAAAGAUGUUCAAGCACUUCUGGAGUCAUCACUACAAGAACUCGUCCCCUUCAUCUUUCUGGCCCCAGGUGCAUACUUUUUAAAGGAGUUGUGGAGACAAGAAAGACUGGGAGAAAGUUAAAAAAAAAAAGGGAAAUGGAUCAAUAACUGUAUAAGCGUGAAGACAAAUGACAUACCAGAUAAUUGGU